rnacentral:lncRNA from 1 species
AAGAUCCGACUACGAAACCAAAAUAAAAAAGACUGCCCCAAAUGCUAGACCCCAACUAAGCUCCACUACUGAUCAACAGUAGUCCCAAAUGAGUUUAUUUCAUUGCGUAGUGCGGGUCAUUAAAAUAGAGAACAAUUAUCAUUCUACAAGUAAAAUACUUAAAAGGGGAAAAUUAACAAGGCUCCAACAUCCAAGGAAGGAAUUACAGCAUUAGCUCUCAAGCCUGGCAGGGCAAAAGCUCUUAGGCGGCAACUGCAUGUUUUGAGAAACAAGCCAUCAAUGAAAUGAAAUGAAAUAACUAAUGCCCUACGAGAGUAACUAUGACAAAAAAUAUAGCUCCAUCUGGAAUUAAAUCCAUAGCUAAAACAUUAAUUUCAUCAUGUACGGCUGUGGGAAUAAAGACCAACUGAAAUUACAUAAACUCGUAUCAUAAAAGUCAAACAACUUCUACGAGAAGAAUUUACAGUAACUCUGUACUGUGAAAGGAAGUCAAACGCCUGAGUUCCAGAAAUUAAUGUGAUAAGAUUACCCAAUAGAAAUCUCUAGGUUAUAAACAAAGAUGUUUCAAGCGUCAUUCACUUACAAGUCUGUACCAUUAAUUUCUAACGUCCAGCUAAUUCAAUUCCUUUUCACAAUUCAUAUCCAAUUCAAUUCGUGGCAUUUGCUUCUGAAUCAGGUUUCACAACAUGGUCUAGGUAACUUGUUUCAGAACGAUAUUCCAGCUUGUUUCUCCAGAGUAGCAAUUGUUGCAAGGAUGCAGUGAAAAUUGUGAAAUUUCGUGCCGUUAUUUAAAUCCCAUCUCGUAGGGUAAAGAGACGAAGCUGAUGACAACACACGCUCUACCGAGCUUUUCAGCACCUUCCACAAAUCAGAGGAACUUGCAAGAGGAUAGUUAAACUCGGCAACAAUCAGAAUUAAAGCGAGUGAUAAAACAGAGGCCAAUAACCAACAGAAGGAAUAAAGAUGCUAGAUCAUGGCUCAGAUCGGUAUAUAACAGGUUUUUCAGUCAAGAAUUUUCAGAAGCAGAACUGGCAUGUUUGCUUAAAGUGUUUAUCAUCACCGCCAUUUAUCAAUAUAGCAACAUAAACAAACCAAGAACAGUAACAAAAGAAUGCUUUGGUAUUUGCAGUGGCUCAUAUUAAGAAAUUCAACCAUGUUUUCCCUUGUACUUCACGAGUUAAUCAGAAGCACGGGUAAGAUUCUAAUCACUGCCACCAAACCACAAUCCAAGAUCCAACGCAAAAACAGAGGAAAAAAGAUGUGAUGCGAAUGUAUCCGUUACUCUGACACAGGCUGCUCAUCCACGCGUGUCGCGGCCUGCAACACUGAACGGCAGCGUGGAUCUAGCACAGCAUUGGGGCUUUCCUUCAUCACAGCGGACAGAGGUCCGUCCGACAAGCCCGGGGUUAGCAUCGUGCAGAAGAAAAUUACUCAUCGCCAAGAGAAGAACAAGCAAAAAGGGGCAGAGCAAAAAAGUGUACGAACGCAACAAUCAUAUUGCCUACGGGAAGCCAUGGCAAUUGAAAAGAUUUCUUGACGCGAUCCCGCCAAUACGAAUUUCUUACGUCACAGAAUCAGAAAACUAAACUAUGAUAGAUCAAGGCUCAAAUCGGUAUAUUGGUUUUUCAAUCAUUAACUUUCAGAAGCAGAACUGGCAUGUUUUUUUAACAUGCACAACUGGCAUGUUAGAUUGAAGUGUUUAUCAUCACCGACAUGUACAAAAAAACAUAAUAAACAAAAAAGAUCAGAAAGAAAAAGGGAUUCAGUAUUUGUAGCACAUUUUUCCCAUAAUUUGGUUGUGACAACGAUGCAUUUUUGGUGCCUGUAGUGUUCUUUGCAGCCUGAUCAGCAUCUUACUGUAGCUUUCAUUUGACUGCAUAGACACAGGUUCAGGUGAUACAGAUUCAAUUUUUACCAAUUUUACAUGUUAGUGCAGAUACAGAUCCAUGAGUUACCUGCAUUCUGCAACUUUUACCUGUUGUUUACAUUUAUCAAUUUGCAGAGUACAAGAAUUUGCAAGACAUCAAACUGUUAAAAUGAGAAAUAAGUAGUAGGAAGCGCCUGGGAGUUUAUUUCAUUGCGUAGUGCAGCUCAUUAAAAUAGAGAAUAAUUAUCAUUCUGAUUGAAGACCCUACUUAAUAAUUAUCAUUCUGAUUGAAGACCCUACUUAUCACAAGAUCAUGGUUUGAACUUUGUAAAUGAAAAAUUAAGUAAAGAUUAUAUUUAGAAAAAAUACUGGACAAAAUUAACAAGGCUCCGACAUCCAAGGAAGGUAUUAGCUCCCAAGCCUGGCAGGGCAAAAGCUCUUAGUGGCAAAUGCUUUAGUUAUUUCCCCAAUAUCAAAUCAAUGAAAUGAAAUAACAACAAACGCCCUAUCAGAGUAACUAUGACAAAAAAUAUAGCUCCAUCUGGAAUUAAAUCCAUAGCUAAAACAUUAAUUUCAUCAUGUAGGGCUGUGGGAAUAAAGACAAGCUGAAAUUACAACUUCUUCCAGAAGAAUUUACAAUAACUCCAGUACCAUGAAAGGAAGUCAAACGACUGAGUUCCAGAAAUUAACGCAAUAAGAUUACCCAAUAGAAAUCUCUUGGUUAUAAAACCAUGCCAUAAAGAUGUUCCAAGCGUCAUUUCACUUACAAGUUCAAUGUCUGCACCGUUACUGCAUUAGCUACUAAUUCGUGCUAGAGUCCAGCAAAUUCGAUUACUUUAAACAAUUCAUAUCCAAUUCGAUUCAUAGCAUUUGUUUCUGAAUCGGGUUUCAAGUUCACAAUAUGGUCUAAGUAACUUGUUUCUCCAGAGUAGCAGUUGUUGCGAGGAUGCAGUGAAGAUUUGUGAAAUUUCGUGCCGUUAUUUAACUCCCAUCUCGUAGGAUCAAGAGACGAAGCUGAUGACAACACAUGAUGUACCGAGAUUUUCAGCCUCUUCCACAAAUCAGAGGAACUUGCGAGAGGAUAGUUAAACUCGGCAACAAUCAUAAAUCAAGCCAGUGAAACAGAGAGCAACAACCAAAAGAAGGAAUGAAGAUUAGAUCAUGGCUCAGAUCAGUAUAUAACAGAUUUUUCAGUCAUGAAUUGUCAGAAGCAGAACUGGCAUGUUUGCUUGAAGUGUUUAUCAUCACCGCCAUGUACAAUCAAUAUCAAACCAAGAACAGUAAAAAAAGGAAGCAUUUGGUAUUUACAGUGGCUCAUAUUAAGAAAUUCAACCAUGUUUUCCCUUGUACUUCAUGAGUUAAUCAGAAGCGCGGGUAAGAUUCUAAUCACUGCCACCAAAAAACCACCCAAGAUCCGAAGCAAAAACAGAUGUGAUGUGAAUGUAUCCGUUACUCUGACACAGGCUGCUCAUCCACGCGUAGUGUCGCGGCCUGCAACACUGAACGGCGGCGUGGAUCUAGCACAGCAUUGGGGCUUUCCUUCAUCACAGUGGACCGAGGUCCGUCCGACAAGCCCGGGGUUAGCAUCGUGCAGAACCAAGAAAAUCACUCAUCGGCGACAAGAGAAAAACAAGCAAAACGAAGGGAGAGAGAACAAAAAAAGAAUUGUACGCAAGCAACAAUCAUAUUGCCUACUGGAAGCCAUGGCAAUUGAAACGAUUUCUUGACGCGUCGAUCUAUCCCCUCCCCGAGAAGAUUGGCGGCAUGGGAGCCGCCAACUUAUCAAGAAUCGAGAGAGGAAAACGCAAGUAAGCAGGAUUUCGAUUUAUAAAAGAAAAAGUAAGAAGCAAAUCGCGGACGGGAAAAGAGAGGGCGAGAGCGAGAGGUAGGGGACGAAGAUACAGGGGGGGCGGGGGGCGGGGGCGGGGGCGGCGGCGCGGGCUGGGAACCCUAGGAUGGUGGUGGGAUUGGGCGAUCGCUUCGGAGUUUAUUUAUAGCCUCCCUGGCGGCGAGUGGAAGGAGAGGCGUGGCGCGGCGUGGGAAAGGAGAAAACCUAGGAGGAGUUUUUGCGGGCCUCUUUGCGAUGACCGUUUCAGGAGAUGGGCUGAGUAGCAAAACUGGGCCUGGAAUUUCUUUUGUGUACGGUGCAAUUUUGGCUAAAAAAAUAUGCCUAAAAAUCCCCAAAAAAAGAUGCCUAAAAAAGGCUAAAAAAUAUUAUUGUGCGUGUGCAUGGCUCGCUUUUCUUUCUUCCACAUGAAGAAAGAAAAGGCGAUCUCGCCAGCCGCCACGAGAGUUUUCUUCCGCCGAUGACCUUGGUCGUUGGUGGUGAGGGUGAUUGCCGGAUCCACGUGUGUGGAUUGUAUAGUUUUAGGUUUUAGGCCUUGGUAGCUUAGGUUUUUGGGUUGUUUAAUGUCUUGGCUUUAGCGGCGGCGAUGGCGAUGUUGAAUAAAGAAUCUUCAAAUCCUUCCCUGACAAGGUGAUCGGCCCUAUGGUUGGAGAUGGAUUUGGAAAGAAGAUUGAUCAAGCAAGGAUGGCGUGGCGGCAGCGGCAUCCUCAUUGUCGACUUAUGACCUCAGGCUCCGUCAUUGCGACUGUGUUUGCUUCAGCACCAGCGCGGAUCUUGGGAUGUGGUCCAGGAACGGAUAUAGAUUGUGGUCUGCAUCAGGGGCAUCUGGAAGAUGGCGGGUCAUGUGUUGGGUUCGUGUUUUGUGUUUGACAGGUAUGGUUUUCUCCUCCGACGUAUUGGUUGUGUGGGGGUCCAGAUAUGGAGUUCGAUGGCGUGUAUGGGUGUGUUGCCUUGAUCUGAUUCGUUCAACAGCAAUGGCUUCGCCUUUGGUAAGCCAUUCUAGAGGUCCCCAAAGUUGCAUAUAAGCGACGGAGCCGCGUCGAGCUCAAGUGAGGAUGUGAUCCGUCAUUUCCCCCCUCUUUGGUGGCUGUUGUGAUGGCGUCGGAGGCAAGUGACAGACGUUGUUGUCAACCUUAGGGGAUUCCUCAAUCUUAAUUGUAUUUUUCUUUUUGAAUGGCGUUUCUUUGUGUAAAGUCUAGCAUUUUGCUAUCUUUUCAGUUUUGUACAUGGUUGGUAUUAUGAUUUUUAUGAUAUAAAUGAGACAUGUGUCACCAUGCAAAAAAAUGUGUUUUUUAGAGAAAAUCGUUGUCACUUUAUUAACUGUUCAUAGCUCCCUCGGUAGCAAUCUCCAAGCUAACACACCCAGGAGAUACAUGGAGCCAAGUUUUACAGAGAGAUCUAAUACAACCUUCCCUAACUAGGACAUCUAUGGCUUUAUUCGCCGAACACCGCACCCAAGCAACCCUAAACUCCUCAAAAGAGUCCAGUAAACCUUUGAUCUCCUCAACUGGUUGCCCAUUAGUUGAGAGAUCCUUUUGCACAUUCUUGAUCUUACUCACCGCUCCUAGAGAGUUCGUUUCGGGGACCACCUUCUGGAUUUGUAAUUCUUGUGCUGGGAUCAGAGCCAUCUGGCACGCCAAUAGCUCGGACACCUCUGCACCGUGAGUGGAGGGGGGAAAUAUUGUGUUACAAUAAGCCUUUCAUAGCAUUCUCUCUAAAAACAUCUCGUAUAAUGACAUGUUUUUUAACCCAAAACUCCAGUCUGUUGUAACCAUUAUGAAAUGUUACAGUCCGCUAUAGGCUGCACCAAAAGAACUCGCCAGUUCAAGGAUGGCGUUUUGGCACUUCGGGCAUAUUGCUCUCCAUAACUAUAGUUUCAUAGUUUGGCUUGGUGUUUGUGUCACUUACUUGCCUCCCACCCCCAUCCCCCCCUCGCACCCCUGCCCGGAAGGGGCCCUAACAGAUUUGUUCUCCUUUGUGAGGUAAAAGGAAAGUUAGUGAACCUGCAAAUAUCGACAAAACAACAAGUAGUAUUGACCAAGGAAAACAACUCAUGAUAAAGACAAAUAUACGUUUUGACCAGAAAAGCCAUAUAUUUCUUGCUGACAUCGAAUCCUUGUUUUGUCAAUUGAGUCUUAGUAGCUACUUAUGCUAACUUUUACAGUCGAAUAAUAUUUCUAAUGAAAUGUGCACAUUGGACCCUAACAAUGACCAUAACCGAGAGUCUCGUGCCAUAAGGCUAUAAGUGUACCCACAAAGAAAAAAAGGCUAUAAGUGGUGUUUUUGGUUUGUUAGUUAUAGAAUCUUGGUUUGGCGAUCAAGGAUCUCUAUAAUGUUAUGUGCCACACAUUUAAGAAAACCCUUAAGGAACAUUGAGUUUUUUUUGCAAGGAACUUCCUUGAGCCUCACAAAGCUUGCAUGUACCUCAUAUCGCAUCCAAUUUUGGUGCCUACGCAACAAGUUAUUCAACAUGCCCUUGAUUAACGCAUUAACACUAUUCAUGUAACUAUAUGUUCAUACAUGAGCCCUCUCUAAAACCUUUAGAAUGUCAUUAUAAGUGUGACGCCCGGAUAAUCAAGCUACAGUAAACCUCUGCUAAUGAUACCACGUUGCCUCAAUUACUGUUGCUAACCUCGCGUUAAAUCAAAAAGUUUCAAAAUCAAAUUUGAUUUUUUGACAAACAAUAAAAGUAUUCAAAUAUAAAAUAUAAAAUGUUCGCGUUGUGACCAAUAAUGCAAAGGUAAUUAUGGUGGAGAAGCCACAUUUUUAUAAAAUAAUUAAAUGCACUAAGGUAUUUAAGACAGUAGCUAAAAUCAAUAAUGAAAUGCCUUUUAAAAAAUUUAUAAAAUAUUAAACUAUCUUAUUUAGUUGACCAAACUUAGGUGACAGUAAUAUAUUUAUUUAGACUAAAUUAGGGACUAUUUUUAUAAUCUAUAAAACUAAAAUAAAGAGAGAAACUAGAAAUAAAACAGAAAAAGAAAAAUACAAAACAAAUAAAAAAAUAAAGAAAAGGGGCAAAGCCUCCCCUCCCUCACUGGGCCGAAUGGCCCAUCUGGACAUCUAGGCCACCAGGAGGCCCACCCCAUCCCGCGUUUAUGUUGGGUUUCGUAGUAAUUUCAAAAAAUUUCCUACGCACACGCAAGAUCAUGUGAUGCAUAGCAACGAGAGGGGAGAGUGUUGUCUACGUACCCACGCAGACCGACUGCAGAAGCGUUGACACAACGUAGAGGAAGUAGUCGUACGUCUUCGCGAUCCAACCGAUUAAGCACCGAAACUACGACACCUCCGAGUUCGAGCACACGUUCAGCUCGAUGACGAUUCCCGGACUCCGAUCCAGCAAAGUGUCGGGGAAGAGUUCCGUCAGCACGACGGCGUGGUGACGAUCUUGAUGUACUACAGCAGCAGGGCUUCGCCUAAACUCCGCUACAGUAUUAUCGAGGACUAUGGUGGCUGGGGGCACCGCACACGGCUAAGGAAUAGAUCACGUGGAUCAACUUGUGUGUUUCUGGGGCGCCCCUGCCUCCGUAUAUAAAGGACUAGAGGGGGGAGGCUGGCCGGCCAAGGGUGGCGCGCCAGGAGAGUCCUACUCCCUCUGGGAGUAGGAUCCCCCCCAAUCCUAGUUGGAAUAGGACUCCUUGAGGGGGGAAAGAGAGAGGGGGCUGGCCACCUCUCCUAGUCCUAAUAGGACUAGGGGAGGGGGGAGGCGUGCGGCCACCUUUGGGCUGCUCCUUUCUCCUUUCCACUAAAGCCCACUAAGGCCCAUAUAGCUCCCGGGGGGGUUCCGGUAACCUCCCGGUACUCCGGUAAAAUCCCGAUUUCACCCGGAACACUUCCGAUAUCCAAACAUAGGCUUCCAAUAUAUCAAUCUUUAUGUCUCGACCAUUUCGAGACUCCUCGUCAUGUCCGUGAUCACAUUCGGGACUCCGAACAACCUUCGGUAUAUCAAAAUGCAUAAACUCAUAAUAUAACUGUCAUCGUAACCUUAAGCGUGCGGACCCUACGGGUUCGAGAACAAUGUAGACAUGACCGAGACACGUCUCCGGUCAAUAACCAAUAGCGGGACCUGGAUGCCCAUAUUGGCUCCUACAUAUUCUACGAAGAUCUUUAUCGGUCAGACCGCAUAACAACAUACGUUGUUCCCUUUGUCAUCGGUAUGUUACUUGCCCGAGAUUCGAUCGUCGGUAUUCCAAUACCUAGUUCAAUCUCGUUACCGGCAAGUCUCUUUACUCGUUCUGUGAUACAUCAUCCCGCAACUAACUCAUUUAGUUGUAAUGCUUGCAAGGCUUAAGUGAUGUGCAUUACCGAGAGGGCCCAGAGAUACCUCUCCGACAAUCGGAGUGACAAAACCUAAUCUCGAAAUACGCCAACCCAACAUGUACCUUUGGAGACACCUGUAGUACUCCUUUAUAAUCACCCAGUUACGUUGUGACGUUUGGUAGUACCCAAAGUGUUCCUCCGGUAAACGGGAGUUGCAUAAUCUCAUAGUUAUAGGAACAUGUAUAAGUCAUGAAUAAAGCAAUAGCAACAUACUAAACGAUCGGGUGCUAAGCUAAUGGAAUGGGUCAUGUCAAUCAGAUCAUUCUCUUAAUGAUGUGAUCCCGUUAAUCAAAUAACAACUCAUUGUUCAUGGUUAGGAAACAUAACCAUCUUUGAUUAACGAGCUAGUCAAGUAGAGGCAUACUAGUGACACUUUGUUUGUCUAUGUAUUCACACAUGUAUUAUGUUUUCGGUUAAUACAAUUCUAGCAUGAAUAAUAAACAUUUAUCAUGGUUAUAAGGAAAUAAAUAAUAACUUUAUUAUUGCCUCUAGGGCAUAUUUCCUUCAGUAUCCCACUUGCACUAGAGUCAAUAAUCUAGAUUACACCGUAAUGAUUCUAACACCCAUGGAGCCUUGGUGCUGAUCAUGUUUUGCUCGUGGAAGAAGCUUAGUCAACGGGUCUGCAACAUUCAGAUUCGUAUGUAUCUUGCAAAUCUCUAUAUCUCCCACCUGGACUAGAUCCCGGAUGGAAUUGAAGCGUCUCUUGAUGUGCUUGGUUCUCUUGUGAAAUCUGGAUUCCUUUGCCAAGGCAAUUGCACCAGUAUUGUCACAAAAGAUUUUCAUUGGACCCGAUACACUAGGUAUGACACCUAGAUCGGAUAUGAACUCCUUCAUCCAGACUCCUUCAUUUGCUGCUUCCGAAGCAGCUAUGUACUCCGCUUCACAUGUAGACCCCGCUACAACGCUUUGUUUAGAACUGCACCAACUGACAGCUCCACCGUUUAAUGUAAACACGUAUCCGGUUUGCGAUUUAGAAUCGUCCGGAUCAGUGUCAAAGCUUGCAUCAACGUAACCUUUUACUGUGAGCUCUUUGUCACCUCCAUAUAUGAGAAACAUAUCCUUAGUCCUUUUCAGGUAUUUCAGGAUGUUCUUGACCGCUGUCCAGUGAUCCACUCCUGGAUUACUUUGGUACCUCCCUGCUAAACUUAUAGCAAGGCACACAUCAGGUCUGGUACACAACAUUGCAUACAUGAUAGAUCCUAUCGCUGAUGCAUAGGGAACAUCUUUCAUAUUCUCUCUAUCUUCUGCAGUGGUCGGGCAUUGAGUCUUACUCAAUUUCACACCUUGUAACACAGGCAAGAAUCCUUUCUUUGCUUGAUCCAUUUUGAACUUCUUCAAAAUUUUGUCAAGGUAUGUUGUUUGUGAAAGUCCAAUUAAGCGUUUUGAUCUAUCUCUAUAGAUCUUAAUGCCUAAUAUGUAAGCAGCUUCACCGAGGUCUUUCAUUGAAAAACUCUUAUUCAAGUAUCCCUUUAUGCUAUCCAGAAAUUCUAUAUCAUUUCCAAUUAAUAAUAUGUCAUCCACAUAUAAUAUCAGAAAUGCUACAGAGCUCCCACUCACUUUCUUGUAAAUACAGGCUUCUCCAAAAGUCUGUAUAAAACCAAAUGCUUUGAUCACACUAUCAAAACGUUUAUUCCAACUCCGAGAGGCUUGCACCAGUCCAUAAAUGGAUCGCUGGAGCUUGCACACUUUGUUAGCUCCCUUUGGAUCGACAAAACCUUCUGGUUGCAUCAUAUACAAUUCUUCUUCUAGAAAUCCAUUCAGGAAUGCAGUUUUGACAUCCAUCUACCAAAUUUCAUAAUCAUAAAAUGUGGCAAUUGCUAACAUGAUUCGGACAGACUUAAGCAUCGCUACGGGUGAGAAGGUCUCAUCGUAGUCAAUCCCUUGAACUUGCCAAAACCCUUUUGCGACAAGUCAAGCUUUGUAGAUAGUAAUAUUACCGUUAGCGUCAGUCUUCUUCUUGAAGAUCCAUUUAUUCUCAAUUGCUUGCCGAUCAUCGGGCAAGUCAACCAAAGUCCAUACUUUGUUCUCAUACAUGGAUCCCAUCUCAGAUUUCAUGGCUUCAAGCCAUUUUGCGGAAUCUGGGCUCACCAUGGCUUCUUCAUAGUUCGUAGGUUCAUCAUGAUCUAGUAGCAUGACUUCCAGAAUAGGAUUACCGUACCACUCUGGCGCGGAUCUCACUCUGGUUGAUCUACGAGGUUCAGUAGUAUCUUGAUCUGAAGUUUCAUGAUCAUUAUCAUUAGCUUCCUCACUAACUGGUGUAGGUGUCACUGGAACAGUUUUCUGUGAUGUACUACUUUCCAGUAAGGGAGCAGGUACAGUUACCUCGUCAAGUUCUACUUUCCUCCCACUCACUUCUUUCGAGAGAAACUCCUUCUCUAGAAAGUUUCCGAAUUUAGCAACAAAAGUCUUGCCUUCAGAUCUGUGAUAGAAGGUGUAUCCAAUAGUUUCCUUUGGAUAUCCUAUGAAGACACAUUUCUCCGAUUUGGGUUCGAGCUUAUCAGGUUGAAGCUUUUUCACAUAAGCAUCAUAGCCCCAAACUUUCAGAAACGACAACUUUGGUUUCUUGCCAAACCACAGUUCAUAAGGCGUCGUCUCAACGGAUUUUGAUGGUGCCCUAUUUAACGUGAAUGCGGCCGUCUCUAGAGCGUAUCCCCAAAACGAUAGCGGUAAAUCAGUAAGAGACAUCAUAGAUCGCACCAUAUCUAGUAAAGUACAAUUACGACGUUCGGACACACCAUUACGCUGUGGUGUUCCGGGUGGCGUGAGUUGCGAAACUAUUCCACAAUUUUUCAAAUGCACACCAAACUCGUAACUCAAAUAUUCUCCUCCACUAUCAGAUCGUAGAAACUUUAUUUUCUUGUUACGAUGAUUUUCAACUUCACUCUGAAAUUCCUUGAACUUUUCAAAUGUUUCAGACUUAUGUUUCAUUAAGUAGAUAUACCCAUAUCUGCUUAAAUCAUUUGUGAAGGUGAGAAAAUAACGAUAUCCGCCACGAGCCUCAAUAUUCAUCGGACCACAUACAUCUGUAUAUAUGAUUUCCAACAAAUCUGUUGCUCUCUCCAUAGUACUGGAGAACGGCGUUUUUGUCAUCUUGCCCAUGAGGCACGGUUCGCAAGUACCAAGUGAUUCAUAAUCAAGUGGUUCCAAAAGUUCAUCAGAAUGGAGUUUCUUCAUGCGCUUUACACCGAUAUGACCUAAAUGGCAGUGCCACAAAUAAGUUGCACUCUCAUUAUCAACUCUGCAUCUUUUGGCUUCAACAUUAUGAAUAUGUGUGUUACUACUAUCGAGAUUUAACAAGAACAGACCACUCUUCAAGGGUGCAUGACCAUAAAAGAUAUUACUCAUAUAAAUAGAACAACCAUUAUUCUCUGAUUUAAAUGAAUAACCGUCUCGCAUCAAACAAGAUCCAGAUAUAAUGUUCAUGCUUAACGCUGACACCAAAUAACAAUUAUUUAGGUCUAAUACUAAUCCCGAAGGUAGAUGUAGAGGUAGCGUGCCGACUGCGAUCACAUCGACUUUGGAACCGUUUCCCACGCGCAUCGUCACCUCGUCCUUAACCAAUCUUCGCUUGAUCCGUAGCCCCUGUUUCGAGUUGCAAAUAUUAGCAACAGAACCAGUAUCAAAUACCCAGGUGCUAUUGCGAGCAUUAGUAAGGUACACAUCAAUAACAUGUAUAUCACAUAUACCUUUGUUCACCUUGCCAUCCUUCUUAUCCGCCAAAUACUUGGGGCAGUUCCGCUUCCAGUGACCAGUAUGCUUGCAAUAGAAGCACUCAGUUUCAGGCUUAGGUCCAGGUUUGGGUUUCUUCUCUUGAGUAGCAACUUGCUUGUCGUUCUUUUUGAAGUUCCCCUUCUUCUUCCCUUUGCCCUUUUUCUUGAAACUAGUGGUCUUGUUGACCAUCAACACUUGAUGCUCCUUCUUGAUUUCUACCUCCGCAGCUUUCAGCAUCGCGAAGAGCUCGGGAAUAGUCUUGUUCAUCCUUUGCAUAUUAUAGUUCAUCACGAAGCUCUUGUAGCUUGGUGGCAGUGAUUGAAGAAUUCUGUCAAUGACGCAAUCAUCUGGAAGAUUAACUCCCAAUUGAAUCAAGUGAUUAUUAUACCCAGACAUUUUGAGUAUAUGCUCACUGACAGAAAUGUUCUCCUCCAUCUUGCAGCUAUAGAACUUAUUGGAGACUUCAUAUCUCUCAAUCCGGGCAUUUGCUUGAAAUAUUAACUUCAACUCCUGGAACAUCUCAUAUGCUCCAUGACGUUCAAAACGUCGUUGAAGUCGCGAUUCUAAGCCGUAAAGCAUGGCGCACUGAACUAUCGAGUAGUCAUCAGCUUUGCUCUGCCAGACGUUCAUAACAUCCGGCGUUGCUCCUGCAGCAGGCCUGGCACCCAACGGUGCUUCCAGGACGUAAUUCUUCUGUGCAGCAAUGAGGAUAAUCCUCAAGUUACGGACCCAGUCCGUGUAAUUGCUACCAUCAUCUUUCAACUUUGCUUUCUCAAGGAACACAUUAAAAUUCAACGGAACAACAACAUGAGCCAUCUAUCUACAAUCAAACAUAAACAAGCAAGAUACUAAUCAGGUACUAAGUUUCAUGAUAAAUUUAAGUUCAGUUAAUCAAAUUAAUUAAAGAACUCCCACUUAGAUAGACAUCCCUCUAAUCCUCUAAGUGAUUACGUGAUCCAAAUCAACUAAACCAUAACCGAUCAUCACGUGAGAUGGAGUAGUUUUCAAUGGUGAACAUCGUUAUGUUGAUCAUAUCUACUAUAUGAUUCACGCUCGACCUUUCGGUCUCCGUGUUCUGAGGCCAUAUCUGUAUAUGCUUGGCUCGUCAAGUAUAACCUGAGUAUUCCGCGUGUGCAACUGUUUUGCACCCAUUGUAUUUGAACGUAGAACCUAUCACACCCGAUCAUCACGUGGUGUCUCAGCACGAAGAACUUUCGCAACGGUGCAUACUCAGGGAGAACACUUCUUGAUAAUUUAGUGAGAGAUCAUCUUAUAAUGCUACCGUCAAUCAAAGCAAGAUAAGAUGCAUAAAAGGAUAAACAUCACAUGCAAUCAAUAUAAGUGAUAUGAUAUGGCCAUCAUCAUCUUGUGCUUGUGAUCUCCAUCUCCGAAGCACCGUCGUGAUCACCAUCGUCACCGGCGUGACACCUUGAUCUCCAUCGUAGCAUCGUUGUCGUCUCGCCAAGCUUGUGCUUCUACGACUAUCACUACCGCUUAGUGAUAAAAGUAAAGCAUUACAUCGCGAUUCCAUUGCAUACAAUAAAACGACAACCAUAAGGCUCCUGCCAGUUGCCGAUAACUCGGUUACAAAACAUGAUCAUCUCAUACAAUAAAAUUCAGCAUCAUGUCUUGACCAUAUCACAUCACAACAUGCCCUGCAAAAACAAGUUAGAUGUCCUCUACUUUGUUGUUGCAAGUUUUACGUGGUUGCUACGGGCUUAAGUAAGAAACAAUCUUACCUACGCAUCAAAACCACAACGAUACUUUGUCAAUUUGACUCCGUUUUAACCUUCGCAAGGACCGGGCGUAGCCAUACUCGGUUCAACUAAAGUUGGAGAGACAGUCGCCCGCAAGCCACCUAUGUGCAAAGCACGUCAGGGGAACCGGUCUCGUGUAAGCGUACGCGUAAUGUUGGUCCGGGUCGUCUCGUCCAACAAUGCCGCCGAACCAAAGUAUGACAUGCUGGUAGGCAGUAUGACUUAUAUCGCCCACAACUCACUUGUGUUCUACUCGUGCAUAUAACAUCAACAUAAAUAACCUAGGCUCGGAUGCCACUGUUGGGUUUCGUAGUAAUUUCAAAAAAUUUCCUACGCACACGCAAGAUCAUGUGAUGCAUAGCAACGAGAGGGGAGAGUGUUGUCUACGUACCCACGCAGACCGACUGCGGAAGCGUUGACACAACAUAGAGGAAGUAGUCGUAUAUCUUCACGAUCCAACCGAUCAAGCACCGAAACUACGACACCUCCAAGUUUGAGCACACGUUCAGCUUGAUGAUGAUUCCCGGACUCCGAUCCAGCAAAGUGUCGGGGAAGAGUUCCGUCAGCACGACGGCGUGGUGACGAUCUUGAUGUACUACAGCAGCAGGGCUUCGCCUAAACUCCGCUACAGUAUUAUCGAGGACUAUGGUGGCUGGGGGCACCGCACACGGCUAAGGAAUAGAUCACAUGGAUCAACUUGUGUGUUUCUGGGGCGCCCCUGCCUCCGUAUAUAAAGGACUAGAGGGGGGAGGCUGGCCGGCCAUGGGUGGCGCGCCAGGAGAGUCCUACUCCCUCUGGGAGUAGGAUUCCCCCCCCCAAUCCUAGUUGGAAUAGGACUCCUUGAGGGGGGAAAGAGAGAGAGGGGGUCGGCCACCUCUCCUAGUCCUAAUAGGACUAGGGGAGGGGGGAGGCGCGCGGCCACCUUUGGGCUACUCCUUUCUCCUUUCCACUAAAGCCCACUAAUGCCCAUAUAGCUCCCGGGGGGGGGGGGGUCCGGUAACCUCCCGGUACUCCGGUAAAAUCCCGAUUUCACCCGGAACACUUCCGAUAUCCAAACAUAGGCUUCCAAUAUAUCAAUCUUUAUGUCUCGACCAUUUUGAGACUCCUCGUCAUGUCCGUGAUCACAUCCGGGACUCUGAACAACCUUAGGUAUAUCAAAAUGCAUAAACUCAUAAUAUAACUGUCAUCGNNNNNNNNNNNNNNNNNNNNNNNNNNNNNNNNNNNNNNNNNNNAACCUUCGGUAUAUCAAAAUGCAUAAACUCAUAAUAUAACUGUCAUCGUAACCUUAAGCGUGCGGACCCUACGGGUUCGAGAACAAUGUAGACAUGACCGAGACACGUCUCCGGUCAAUAACCAAUAGCGGGACCUGGAUGCCCAUAUUGGCUCCUACAUAUUCUACGAAGAUCUUUAUCGGUCAGACCGCAUAACAACAUACGUUGUUCCCUUUGUCAUCGGUAUGUUACUUGCCCGAGAUUCGAUCGUCGGUAUUCCAAUACCUAGUUCAAUCUCGUUACCGGCAAGUCUCUUUACUCGUUCUGUGAUACAUCAUCCCGCAACUAACUCAUUUAGUUGUAAUGCUUGCAAGGCUUAAGUGAUGUGCAUUACCGAGAGGGCCCAGAGACACCUCUCCGACAAUCGGAGUGACAAAACCUAAUCUCGAAAUACGCCAACCCAACAUGUACCUUUGGAGACACCUGUAGUACUCCUUUAUAAUCACCCAGUUACGUUGUGACGUUUGGUAGUACCCAAAGUGUUCCUCCAGUAAACGGGAGUUGCAUAAUCUCAUAGUUAUAGGAACAUGUAUAAGUCAUGAAUAAAGCAAUAGCAACAUACUAAAUGAUCGAGUGCUAAGCUAAUGGAAUGGGUCAUGUCAAUCAGAUCAUUCUCUUAAUGAUGUGAUCCCGUUAAUCAAAUAACAACUCAUUGUUCAUGGUCAGGAAACAUAACCAUCUUUGAUUAACGAGCUAGUCAAGUAGAGGCAUACUAGUGACACUUUGUUUGUCUAUGUAUUCACACAUGUAUUAUGUUUCCGGUUAAUACAAUUCUAGCAUGAAUAAUAAACAUUUAUCAUGAUUAUAAGGAAAUAAAUAAUAACUUUAUUAUUGCCUCUAGGGCAUAUUUCCUUCAGUUUAACCUCCAAAAACCCUAACCCCCUCCCCACUCGCUCCGACUCCCCCACGCCGUCACUUCCCCCCUCCCAAUCCGAUCUGGAUCGGGAUCGAUCCCCGUUGCUAGACGCCCGACGUCGCCCUGCCUCUAACGCCGCUGGACCUCGUGGCCACCUCGCGGGACCUCCCUCGCCGGAUCGCUCCACCUCGACCACGCCUCCCCGUCAGACUUCCUCCCCAUCGUCGACGCCUCGCUGUCCUCCUCCUCGACACCACGCCGCAGCCGCUCGCCUCCCCAUCGCCCGGUCGUCCCCGUCGUCCUCCCCACGCCCCGCUGCCCGUGCCCUACGAAACCCCCCGCGAGGCCCCCUCCUUCCUCCUUUCCCUGCGGUCACCACCGCUCGCUCGCCCCGCACCGCUGCUGCAUCGUCGGUGCUGCUCUGCUGCGGCCAUCGCACUCAGCCCCGUCCACCCGCAGCGCACACCUGCCCGCACACACGCCCGCUCGGCCCCGCCUCCCCCGCCGGCGCUCGCCGCAGCCCCGUGCACGCUCUUGCUCCGGCCCUUCCUGCUGCCGUAGUCCGCUGCGGCCUCGUCGCCCCUCGCCGCUCGCCGUCGCCCGCAGCUACGACCGCGCCCGCUACGGCUACUCGCCGCUCGUCCGCGCGUGCGCCCCGCCUCAUCAGCGCUGUUGUGGCCUCGCCGGCCCGCGCCACCGCAUCCCCUGCUCUGCCCGUGGUGCUUGCUGCCUCCUAGUGCGCGCAUGCCAACGCCCGACUCCGCUCGCCCUCCCCCCGCCACCACCUCCACCAUUGCUGCCCAGCACCGCCGCCGCCCUGUGCCGGCGCUGCCCUGCUGUAGCUCUCUGCGGUGGCCGCCAGCGCCCCGUUGCCCCUGCUAGUCCCGCCCCGCGGCAGACCUGGGCGAGUGCCCUAGUGGGCUGGCGCCCAUCGCCCAUCUCCGCCCGAACCCGCGCGCCCGCUAAGGCCCCCAGGCCUAUGACAGUCGGGGCCCAGCCCGAGAACGUUUUUUAAAAAAGAGAAAAUUUUAAAAAAUAAUUUUAAAAAUAAAUAAAUAAAAUUGUUAAUUAAUUAAUUAAUUGUGUUUAAUUAACCUAAUAACUAAUCAACCUAAUUAACUAAUGUUAAUUAACUAAACAGCCUAUGACAGUAGGGACCCACUUGUCAAUUUGACCAGUCAACGGUCAAUACCGACUGGGUUGUUGACUUUGACUGGCCCCACCAGCCAGUCUCUACUGACUGGGCAGUUGACCAAGUCAACUGGGCCUACUGGUCAGCCACACAAGCCCUUCUGUGGGUACACAUCUGUGUACCCAUAGCAAUUUAACAUUUAAUUUCCGAAUUAAAACAAUUUAGAAAAUGAUUUAAAACUUUAAAAAAUCAUAUAAAAUAAUCUGCAACUCGGAUGGAAAUACUUUGUACAUGAAAGUUGCUGAGAAUGACGAGACAAAUCCCGAAUACGCAGCCCGUUCAUUUGCCACACAUCCCUAGCAUAGCGAACACGCAACUUUCCGCCUUCGGUUCAUCCGUCCGAAAACGCGAAACACCGGGGAUACUUUCCGGAUGUCCCCCCUCGUCGGUAUCACCUCCUACCGCGUUAGGGCACACCUAGCACCAUUACUUGCCAUGUCAUGCAUUGAUACGUCCAUUUUGCAUCAUGCUUUUAUAUCGAUAUUUAUUGCAUUAUGGGCUGUUAUUACAUAUUAUGUCACAAUACUUAUGCCUAUUCUCUCUUAUUUUAUAAGGUUUACAUAAAGAGGGAGAAUGCCGGCAGCUGGGAUUCUGGGCUGGAAAAGGAGCAAAUAUUAGAGACAUAUUCUGCACAGCUCCAAAAGUCCUGAAACUUCACGGAAGACGUUUUCAGAAUAUAUAAAAAAUACUCAGCGGAAGAAGUUCACCAGGGGGGCCACACCCUGCCCACGAGGGUGGGGGCGCGCCCUACCCCCCUGGGCACGCCCCCUACCUCGUGGGCCCCCUGGUGGCUCUCCGGUGGCCAUCUUCUUCUAUAUGAAGUCUUUCGAUGGGAAAAAAUAAAAAGCCAUCUUCUCGCACGAAACUCCACCGCCACGAGGCGGAACCUUAGCGGAACCAAUCUAGGGCUCUGCGGAGCUGUUCUGCCGGGGAAACUUCCCUCCCAGAGGGGGAAAUCAUCGCCAUCGUCGUCACCAACGCUCCUCUCAUCGGGAGAGGGAAAUCUCCAUCAACAUCUUCAUCAGCACCAUCUCCUUUCAAAACCCUAUUUCAUCUCUUGUAUCCAAUUCUUGUCUCCAAGUCCGGGAUUGGUGCUAGUAGGUUGCUAGUAGUGUUAACUACUCCUUGUAGUUGAUGCUAGUUGGUUUAUUUGGUGGAAGAUCAUAUGUUCAGAUCCUAUAUGCAUAUUAAUAGCCCUCUGAUUAUGAACAUGUUUAUGCUUUGUGAGUAGUUAUGUUUGUUCGUGAGGACAUGGGAGAAGUCUUGCUAUUAGUAGUCAUGUUAAUUUGGUAUUCGUUCGAUAUUUUGAUGAGAUGUAUGUUGUCUCUCCUCUAGUGGUGUUAUGUGAACGUCGACUACAUGACACUUCACCAUUAUUUGGGCCUAGAGGGAGGCAUUGGGAAGUAAUAAGUAGAUGAUGGGUUGCUAGAGUGACAGAAGCUUAAACCCUAGUUUACGCGUUGCUUCGUAAGGGGCUGAUUGGAUCCGUAUGUUUCAUGCUAUGGUUAGGUUUACCUUAAUACUUUUGUUGUAGUUGCGGAUGCUUGCAAUAGAGGUUAAUCAUAAGUGGGAUGCUUGUCCAAGUAAGGACAGUACCCAAGCACCGGUCCACCCACAUAUCAGAUUAUCAAAGUACCGAACGCGAAUCUUAUGAACGUGAUGAAAACUAGCUUGACGAUAUUCCCAUGUGUCCUCGGGAGCGCUUUUCUCUAUAUAAGAGUUUGUCCAGGCUUGUCCUUUGCUACAAAAAGGAUUGGGCCACCUUGCUGCACUUUAUUUACUUUUGUUACUUGUUGCUCGUUACAAAUUAUCCUAUCACAAAACUAUCUGUUACGACUUAUUUCAGUACUUGCAGAGAAUACCUUGCUGGAAACCGCUUAUCAUUUCCUUCUGCUCCUCGUUGGGUUUGACACUCUUACUUAUCGAAAGGACUACGAUAGAUACCCUAUACUUGUGGCUCAUCAAGACUCUUUUCUGGUGCCGUUGCCGGGGAGUGAAGCGCCUUUGGUAGGUGGAAUUUGGUAAGGAAAAAUUUAUAUAGUGUGCUGAAAUUUACUGUCACUUGUUACUAUGGAAAGUAAUCCUCUGAGGGGCUUGUUCGGGGUGUCUUCACCCCGACCAGUAGAGCAAAGAGUUGCUCCUCAACAUACUGAACCUACUGAAAAUGAAAAUGUUUGCUUUGAAAUUCCUUCGGGUAUGAUAGAAAAACUGCUAGCUAAUCCCUUUUUAGGAGAUGGAACAAAACAUCCUGAUGAGCAUCUAAUAUAUGUGGAUGAAGUUUGUGGAUUAUUUAAGCUUGCAGGUGUACCCGGAGAUGUUGUUAAGAAGAAGGUCUUCCCUUUAUCUUUGAAGGGAGAUGUAUCGACAUGGUAUAGGCUAUGUGAUGGUAUGGGGUCUUGGAAUUACAAAUGAUUGAAAUUGGAAUUUCAUCAGAAGUUUUAUCCUAUGCAUCUUGUUCAUCGUGAUCACAAUUAUAUAUAUAAUUUUUGGCCUCACGAAGGAGAAAGCAUCGCUCAAGCUUGGGGGAGGCUUAAAUCAAUGUUAUAUUCAUGCCCCAAUCAUGAGCUCUCAAGAGAAAUGAUUAUUCAAAAUUUUUAUGCUCAGCUUUCUGAUAGCAAUCGCACCAUGCUUGAUACUUCUUGUGCUGGCUCUUUUAUGAUGAAGACUAUUGAAUUCAAAUGGGAUUUAUUGGAAAGAAUUAAACGCAACUCUGAAGAUUGGGACCUCGACAAAGGUAAGGAGUCAGGUAUGACACCUAGGUUUGAUUGUGUUAAAUCUUUUAUGGAUACCGAUGUUUUUCGUAAAUUUAGCACUAAAUAUGGACUUGACUCUGAGAUAGUAGCUUCUUUCUGUGAAUCUUUUGCUACUUAUGUUGAUCUCCCCAAGGAGAAGUGGUUUAAAUAUCAUCCUCCCAUAGAAGCAAAAGUAGCUGCACCUAUUAAAGUUGAAGAAAAGAUUGUCACUUAUAAUGAUCCUAUUGUUCCUACUUCUUAUGUUGAGAAACCACCUUUCCCUGUUAGGAUAAAGGAUCAUGCUAAAGCUUCAACUGUGGUUCGUAAAAGCAAUAUUAAAACCUAUACACCUCCUGAGCAAGUUAAAGUUGAACCUAAUAUUGCUAUUGUUAAAGAUCUCUUGUCUGAUAAUAUUGAUGGGCAUGUUAUUUAUUUCUGUGAUGAAACUGCUAGAAUUGCUAAACCUUGUGCUAAAGAUAAAAACAGACCGGUGGUAGGUGCUACCUCUUGAGCAAUGCGUUGGUUUUCCCCGAAGAGGAAGGGAUGAUGCAGCAAAGUAGCAUAAGUAUUUCCCUCAGUUUUUGAGAACGAAGGUAUCGAUCCAGUAGGAGGCUACGCGCGAGUCCCUUGUACCUGCACAAAACAAAUAAAUCCUCGCAACCAACGCGAAUAGGGGUUGUUAAUCCCUACACGGCCACUUAUGAGAGUGAGAUCUGAUAGAUAUGAUAAAGAUAAUAUUUUUGGUAUUUUUGUGAUAAAGAUGCGAAGUAAAAUAAAGGCAAAGUGGAAAGCAAAGGAAAUAACUAAGUAGUAGGAGAUUAAUAUGAUAAAGAUAGACCCCGGGGCCAUAGGUUUCACUAGUGGCUUCUCUCAAGUAGCAUAAGUAUUCUACGGUGGGUGAACAAAUUACUGUUGAGCAAUUGACAGAAUUGAGCAUAGUUAUGAGAAUAUCUAGGUAUGAUCAUGUAUAUAGGAAUCACGUCCGAGACAAGUAGACCGACUCCUGCAUGCAUCUACUACUAUUACUCCACUCAUCGACCGCUAUCCAACAUGCAUCUAGAGUAUUAAGUUAAAAAUAGAGUAACGCCUUAAGCAAGAUGACAUGAUGUAGAGGGAUAGACUCAUGCAAUAUGAUGAAAACCCCAUCUUGUUAUCCUCGAUGGCAACAAUACAAUACGUGCCUUGCUGCCACUACUGUCAUUGGGAAAGGACACCGCAAGAUUGAACCCAAAGCUAAGCACUUCUCCCAUUGCAAGAAAGAUCAAUCUAGUAGGCCAAACCAAACUGAUAAUUCGAAGAGACUUGCAAAGAUAACCAAUCAUACAUAAAAGAAUUCAGAGAAGAUUCAAAUAUUAUUCAUAUAUAUACUUGAUCAUAAACCCACAAUUCAUCGGUCUCAACAAACACACCGCAAAAAGAAUAUUACAUCAAAUAGUUCUCCACAAGAGAGGGGGAGAACAUUGUAUUGAGAUCCAAAAAGAGAGAAGAAGCCAUCUAGCUAAUAACUAUGGACCCGUAGGUCUGAGGUGAACUACUCACACUUCAUCGGAGAGGCUAUGGUGUUGAUGUAGAAGCCCUCCAUGAUCGAUGCCCCCUCCGGCGGAGCUCCGGAACAGGCCCCAAGAUGGGAUCUCGUGGAUACAGAAAGUUGCGGCGGCAGAAUUAGGUUUUUGGCUCCGUAUCUGAUCGUUUGGGGGUACGUAGGUAUAUAUAGGAGGAAGGAGUACGUCGGUGGAGCAACAGGGGGCCNNNNNNNNNNNNNNNNNNNNNNNNNNNNNNNNNNNNNNNNNNNNNNNNNNNNNNNNNNNNNNNNNNNNNNNNNNNNNNNNNNNNNNNNNNNNNNNNNNNNNNNNNNNNNNNNNNNNNNNNNNNNNNNNNNNNNNNNNNNNNNNNNNNNNNNNNNNNNNNNNNNNNNNNNNNNNNNNNNNNNNNNNNNNNNNNNNNNNNNNNNNNNNNNNNNNNNNNNNNNNNNNNNNNNNNNNNCCUGGGUCUUGUUCGUUGGGAAAAUCACGUUCCCGAAGGUUUCAUUCCGUUUGGACUCCGUUUGAUAUUCCUUUUCUUGGAAACCCUAAAAUAGGCAAAAAACAGCAAUUCUGUGCUGGGCCUCCGGUUAAUAGGUUAGUCCCAAAAAUAAUAUAAAAGUGGAUAAGAAAGCCCAAUAAUGUCCAAAACAGUAGAUAAUAUAGCAUGGAGCAAUCAAAAAUUAUAGAUACGUUGGAGACGUAUCAUGCAUCCCCAACCUUAAUUCCUGCUCGUGGAGUGCUACUUGGCAUAAUUUUAAUGUAAUUCUUCUUAAUUGUGGUAUGAAUAUUCAGAUCCGAAAGAUUCAAGACAAAAGUUCAUAUUGACAUAAAAAUAAUAAUACUUCAAGCAUACUAACUAAGCAAUUAUGUCUUCUCAAAACAACAUGGCCAAAGAAAGUUCAUCCCUACAAAAUCAUAUAGUUUAGUCAUGCUCCAUUUUCGUCACACAAGAAUGCUCUCAUCAUGCACAACCCCGAUGACAAGCCAAGCAAUUGUUUCAUACUUUAGUAAUCUCAAAGUCUAUAAACUUUCACGCAAUAUAUGAGCGCGAGCCAUGGACAUAGGGCUAUGGGUGGAAUAGAAUAUAAUGAGGGGGGUUAUGUGGAGAAGACAAAAAGGAGAAAGUCUCACAUCAACGAGGCUAAUCAAUGGGCUAUGGAGAUGCCCACCGAUUGAUGUUGAUGCAAGGAGUAGGGAUUGCCAUGCAGCGGAUGCACUAGAGCUAUAAAUGUAUGAAAGCUCAACAAAAGAAACUAAGUGGGUGUGCAUCCAACUUGCUUGCUCACGAAGACCUAGGGAACUUGAGGAGGCCCAUUGUUGGAUUAUACAAGCCAAGUUCUAUAAUGAAAAAUUCCCACUAGUAUAUGAAAGUGACAAAACAAGAGACUCUCUAUCAUGAAGAUUACGGUGCUACUUUGAAGCACAAGUGUGGAAAAAAAGGAUAGUAGCAUUGCCCCUUUUACAUAUAUAUAUUUAUUUGGCCUUCCUUUUUUUCCUUUUUUAUUUGGCCCUUCCUUUUUUGGGGACAAUGCUCUAUUAAUGAUGAUCAUCACACUUCUAUUUAUUUAUAACUCAGUAAUUAAAACACGACACUAGAACAAAGUAUGACUCUAUAUGAAUGCCUCCGGCGGUGUACCCGGAUAUGCAAUGGACCAAGAGUGACAUGUAUGAAAGAAUCAUGAACGGUUUCCUUGCCAUAAAUACUAUGUCAACUACAUGAUUAUGCUAAGCAAUAUGACAAUGAUGAAUGUGUCAUGAUGAACGGAAUGGUGGAGAGUUGCAUGGCAAUAUAUCUCGGAAUGGCUAUGGAAAUGCCAUAAUAGGUAGGUAUGGUGGCUGUUUUGAGGAAGAUAUAAGGAGGUUUAUGUGUGAAAGAGCGUAUCAUAUCACGAGGUUUGGAUGCAUCGGCGGAGUUUGCGCCAACUCUCAAUGUGAGAAAGGGCAAUGCACGGUACCGAAAAGGCUAGCAAGGAUGGAAGGGUGAGAGUGCGUAUAAUCCAUGGACUCAACAUUAGUCAUAAAGAACUCACAUACUUAUUGCAAAAAUCUACAAGUCAUCAAAAAUCUCGGUACUACGCGCAUGCUCCUAGGGGGAUAGAUUGGUAGGAAAAGACCAUCGCUCAUCCCCGACCACCACUCAUAACAAAGACAAUCAAAUAACACCUCAUGUUUCAAAUUUGUUACACAACGUUUACCAUACGUGCAUGCUAUGGGACUUGCAAACUUCAACACAAGUACUCCCUCCAGUCCUUUUUACUCUGCAUAUUAGAAUUCUCUGAAGUCAAAGUUCACAAAGUUUGACCGUAUUUAUAUGAAAAAAUAUCAACAUCUGCCAUGCUAAAGUUAUAUAAUAUGAAACUUUAAGUCAUGACACAUCUAGUGUUAUUGAUUUCAGAUUGUGAAUGUUGACACUUUUUUCUACAAAGCUGGUCAAACUUUACGAGGCUUGACUUCAGUCAAAUCUUAUAUGCGAACUAAAAAGGACCGGAGGGAGUAUUUAUCAAUUUCACAACUACUCAACUAGCACGACUUUGAUAUUAUUAUCUCCAUAUCUCAAAACAAUCAUCAAGCAUCAAACUUCUCUUAGUAUUCAAAACACUCUUAAGAAAAUUAUACUAACUUUGAAUACCUAGCAUAUUAGGAUUUUAAGAAAAUUACCAUGCUAUUAAGACUCUCAAAAUAAUCUAAGUGAAGCAUGAGAGAUCAAUUGUUUCUAUAAAACAAAUCCACCACCGUGCUCUAAAAGAUAUAAGUGAAGCACUAGAGCAAAACUAUAUAGCUCAAAAGAUAGAAGCGAAGCACAUAGAGUAUUCUAGCAAAUUCCAAAUCAUGUAUGGCUCUCUCAAAAUGUGUGUACAGAAAGUAUGAUUGUGGUAAACUAACAAAUAAAGACUCAAAUCAUACAAGACGCUCCAAGCAAAACACAUAUCAUGUGGCGAAUAAAAAUAUAGCUCCAAGUAAAGUUACCGAUAGAAGUAGACGAAAGAGGGGAUGCCUUUCGGGGCAUCCCCAAGCUUUGGCUUUUAGGUGUCCUUAGAUUAUCUUGGGGGUGCCAUGGGCAUCCCCAAGCUUAGGCUCUUGCCACUCCUUGUUCCAUAAUCCAUCAAAUCUUUACCCAAAACUUGAAAACUUCACAACACAAAACUUAAAGUAGAAAAUCUCGUGAGCUCCGUUAGCGAAAGAAAAUAAAAGACCACUUCAAGGUACUGUAAUGAACUCAUUCUUUAUUUAUAUUGGUGUUAUACCUACUGUAUUCCAACUCCUCUAUGGUUUAUAAACUAUUUUACUAGCCAAGAUUCAUCAAAAUAAGCAAACAACACACGAAAAACAGAAUCUGUCAAAAACAGAACAGUCUGUAGUAAUCUGUAGCUAGCGCAAGAUCUGGAACCCCAAAAAUUCUAAAAUAAGUUGCUGGACGUGAGUAAUUUAUCUAUUAAUCAUCUUCAAAAAUAAUUAACUAAAUAGCACUUUCCAAAUAAAAAUGGCAGUAGUUCUCGUGAGCGCUAAAGUUUCUGUUUUUUACAGCAAGUGUAACAAGACUUUCCCCAAGUCUUCCCGACGGUUCUACUUGGCACAAACACUAAUUAAACACAAAAAACACAACCUAAACAGAGGCUAGAUAAAUUAUUUAUUACUAAACAGGAGCAAAAAACAAGGAAUAAAAAUAAAAUUGGGUUCCCUCCCAACAAGCGCUAUCGUUUAACGCCCCUAGCUAGGCAUAACAAGCAAGGAUAGAUCUAGGUAUUGCCAUCUUUGGUAGGCAAUCCAUAAGUGGCUCUCAUAAUCGAUUCAUAAGGUAAUUUAAUUUUAUUUCUAGGAAAGUGUUCCAUGCCUUUCCUUAAUGGAUUUUGGAAUCUAAUAUUUCCUUCCUUCAUAUCAAUAAUUGCACCAAUCGUUCUAAGGAAAGGUCUACCAAGAACAAUAGGACAUGAAGGAUUGCAAUCUAUGUCGAGAACAAUAAAAUCUACGGGAACAUAAUUCCUAUUUGCACCAAUAAGAACAUCAUUAAUUCUUCCCAUAGGUUUCUUAAUAGUUGAAUCCGCAAGGUGCAAGUUUAAAGAGCAAUCAUCAAAAUCACGGAAACCUAACAAAUCACACAAAGUCUUUGGAAUCGUGGAAACACUAGCACCCAAAUCACAUAAAGCAUAGCAUUCAUGAUCUUUAAUUUUAAUUUUAAUAGUUGGUUCUCACUCAUCAUAAAGCUUUCUAGGGAUAGAAACAUCCAAUUCAAGUUUUUCUUCAUAAGAUUGCAUCAAGGCAUCAAUGAUAUGCUCAGUAAACGCUUUAUUUUGACUAUAAGCAUGAGGAGAAUUUAGCAUGGAUUGAAACAAGGAAAUACAAUCAAUCAAAGAGCAAUUUUCAUAGUUAAAUUCCUUGAAAUCCAUAAUAGUGGGUUUAGCAACAUCUAGGGUUUUAAUUUCUUCAAUCCCACUUUUAUCAAUUUUAGCAUCAAGAUCAACAAAUUCCGAAUUCUUGGAACGCCUUCUAGGUAAAGGUGGAUCAUAUUCAGUCCCAUCAUUAUCAAGAUUCAUAUUGCAAAACAAAUAUUUAAUAGGGGACACAUCAAUAACUUUUAGAUCUUCAUCAUUAUUUUCAUAGGAACUAGAAGAACACGCUCUUAUAAAGGCAUCUUUCUUAGCAUGCAUCCUAGCGGUUCUUUCUUUGCACUCAUGAAUGGAAAUUCUCAUGGCUUUGAGAGACUCAUCGACAUCAUGCUUAGGUGGAAUAGAUCUAAGUUUCAAAGAAUCAACAUCAAGAGUAAUUCUAUCAACGUUCCUAGCCAAAUCAUCAAUCUUAAGCAAUUUUUCUUCAAUCAAAGCAUUGAAAUUCUUUUGCGAAGUAAUAAAUUCUUUAAUAUUAGAUUCAAAAUCAGAGGGCAUCUUAUUAUAAUUUCCAUAAGAAUUGUUGUAGGAAUUACCAUAAUUAUUAGAGGGAUUACUAGGAUAAGGCCUAGGGUUGAUAUUUCCUCUAUACGCGUUGUUACCAAAAUUGUUCCUACCAACAAAAUUCACAUCCAUAGAUUCAUUAUUAUUCUCAAUCAAAGUAGACAAGGGCAUACCAGGAUCAGAAGAAACACUCUUAUUAGCAAAUAAUUUCAUAAGUUCAUCCAUCUUUCCACUCAAAACAUUAAUUUCUUCUAUCGCAUGCACCUUUUUAUUAGUAGAUCUUUCAGUAUGCCAUUGAGAAUAAUUAACCAUAAUAUUAUCUAGGAGUUUAGUAGCUUCUCCUAAAGUGAUUUCCGUAAAAGUGCCUCCCGCGGCCAAAUCUAAAAGAUUUCUAGAAGCAAAAUUCAAUCGGACAUAAAUUUUUUGUAUAAUCAUCCACAAAUUUAAACCAUGAGUAGGGCAAUUACGUAUCAUUAGUUUCAUUCUCUCCCAAGCUUGUGCAACAUGUUCAUGAUCAAGUUGCUUAAAAUUCAUAAUAUCGUUUCUAAGAGAGAUGACCUUAGCGGGAGGAAAAAUACUUAGAGAUAAAAGCAUCUUUGCACUUAUUCCAAGAAUCAGUACUAUUUUUAGGUAAAGACGAAAACCAAGCUUUAGCACGAUCUCUAAGCGAAAAAGGAAAUAGCUUCACUUUAACAAUGUCAUUAUCCACAUAUUUCUUCUUUUGCAUGUCACACAAAUCAACGAAGCUAUUUAGGUGGGUAGCGGCAUCUUCACUAGGAAGGCCGGAAAAUGGAUCUUUCAUGACAAGAUUCAGCAAAGCAGUAUUAAUUUCAGAAGAUUCAGCAUCGGUAAGAGGAGCAAUCGGAGUGCUAAUAAAAUCAUUGUUGUUGGUAUUGGUGAAGUCACAUAAUUUAGUAUUAUCUUGAGCCAUCGUAACAAGCAAGCAACUAACACACAAGCAAACAAAAAGCAAGCGGGCAAAAAGAGGCAAAUAGAGAAAGAGAUGGAGGGUAGAGAGAGAGGGGGCGAAUAAAACGACAAGGGUGAAGUGGGGGAGAGGAAAACGAGAGGCAAAUGGCAAAUAAUGUAAUGCAGGAGAUAAGUGUAUGUGAUGGGUACUUGGUAUGUUGACUUUUGCGUAGACCUCCCCGGCAACGGCGCGAGAAAUCCUUCUUGCUACCUCUUGAGCACUGCGUUGGUUUUCCCCGAAGAGGAAGGGAUGAUGCAGCAAAGUAGCGUAAGUAUUUCCCUCAGUUUUGAGAACCAAGGUAUCAAUCCAGUAGGAGGCUACGCGCGAGUCCCUUGUACCUGCACAAAACAAAUAAAUCCUCGCAACCAACGCGAAUAGGGGUUGUCAAUCCCUACACAACCACUUACGAGAGUGAGAUCUGAUAGAUAUGAUAAAGAUAAUAUUUUUGGUAUUUUUGUGAUAAUGAUGCAAAGUAAAAUAAAGGCAAAGUAGAAAGCAAAGGAAAUAACUAAGUAGUAGGAGAUUAAUAUGAUAAAGAUAGACCCGGGGGCCAUAGGUUUCACUAGUGGCUUCUCUCGAGAGCAUAAGUAUUCUACGGUGGGUGAACAAAUUACUGUUGAGCAAUUGACAGAAUUGAGCAUAGUUAUGAGAAUAUCUAGGUAUGAUCAUGUAUAUAGGCAUCACGUCCGAGACAAGUAGACCGACUCCUGCCUGCGUCUACUACUAUUACUCCACUCAUCGACCGCUAUCCAGCAUGCAUCUACACUACAAAAAGAUACACUUCCGUGAUGAUACGUGUUUGUCAUAGUAGGUCGCAUUUUCUGUCAUGCAUGUACAUCCAUGACGAGUUUAUGACAGAAUCAAGAUAGUCAUACCUAUGCUGUCGUAGAAGUGUUCCAUGACAUUACCAAAAUUAUCAUCACGGAAGUGUCCACUUCCAUGACGAUAAAUCCUGCGUCACAGAAGUGCUUUCGUCAAGGAUGACCGACAUGUGGCAUCCACCAUAACGGAACGCCGUUAAGCUAUCGGGUCGGGUUUUGGAUCCGAUAACCCGUUAACAGUCCCGACCAAUGGUGAUUUUCCACAUGUAAAAUCAGCAUUGGCUGGAGGAAACACGUGUCGGCUCAUCGUUGGGACAGAUGUCAUCCACUCAUUGGACAGAAGGCGCCGAUGAUACGUCGACACGUGGCACGGCCCAACAGAGGCCCAUUCCUGUGAAAAGGCCGGCCCAUUUGACUUGGUCAAAAGGUGGCGGGCCGGCCCAUGUAAAGCCUGUUAACGGCCUGUUCGCAUAUAGCCCAUUUACAGCCCACUAACCCAAGGCCCGUUACGCCCUAUCCGAAUUAGGCCCAGUAGUGUCAUCUGGGCCACCCAAUAUGAUUCCAGCCCGUUUUCACUUAUGGCCCAUGUAUGGCCCAUGACGUCUUUCGGCCCAUACGAGGCCCUAUGUAACUCUUGGCCUAUUAACGGCCCGUGGUGAAACUAGCCCGUAAUGAACAGUGUAUCACUUUACACCCAUUAACGGCCCGUGGUGAAACUGGCCCGUAAUGAACAGUGUAUCACUUUAUACCCAUUAACGCCCCGUUAUUCCGUUGGGCCGUUUCCAGCCCAUGCUAUCUUUCGGCCUUCUCAGAGCCCAUUUAUUCUUGGGCUCAUUUCCAGCAUUCUUUUACUUACGGCCCGUUACUGUCAUUUUCUGCUUGUGGGCCAAAUUCAGCCCGUGGUUACAAUUGGCCCGUUUGUGAUCCGUUAAUAUGUUGGGCCGUUUUCAUAGCGUCAUCAAAUACGGCCUAUUAAAGAUGGCCCGCUAUGGUCGGCCCAUGAACGGAUGAUUCCAACUCUAGCCCGUUUACGGCCAUAAUGCGGCCUGUUAUUGGCCCAUGUUUGGCCAAUCUAUCAUACUGCCCGUAUAAGGCCCAUUGAUGAUACGGCCCAUAGAAGGCCCAUUGUUUCUACGGCCCGUAGAAGGCCCACUGUUUCUAUGGCCCGUAGAGGCCCAGUGUCACUACAGUAAAUAUUAGCCCAUGGUUAUUGUGGCCUAGUUUUAAAAAAUAGGUUAUUGCAGCCACUAGCAAACCACGGAAAAAGAACUGCAAUGACUACAAACAAACAAAUAAACAAGACAACAAGGAAAUAAAUAAGAAAGCAACUUACGCUAGGCUAUCACGGCUAUCACACAUAUUACAUCCACUGGGCAUCAAAGUUCGCCACCAGUGCAAAUAAACGCGCCGACAAAAGAAUAUACAAAACUGAGAGCACUUCAGAAGGCACUAGGCCUGGCCAGGUCAGGCCCCCCAAACAACUGAAGAAGCUGAGUAGACCUCAGUUGUGUCAACGAUAGAUGCAUCAACACUAGAUUUAAGGCAUGAUGGUGCGCAUGGCAGUCCUCUGACAUCUUCAUUGCAUCUUUGACUUCAAGUUGGAGCUGAGCUAAAGCAAGCCUUUCCGCUUUAAGUUGAUACUGAAUAAGUCGGACUGAUUGAGGCAGCGACUGCACAGAGGUUGUCUCACACCUGCUGGUGAGUAGCUUCAACUCACUGUCUUCAUCAAGACAGGACCUUGGGGUAAUCUCGCUGUCCUCAAGAUGGUUUGGCUCACUAUCUUCCCUAAAGUUCUGCCUGGCGUAAGAGAUACGAGUCUGAAAGAGAAACGAGGAGACACGUAACAGGUUUCACAAUUAUAUAAGCAAAUAAAUGGAUCUAUUCUGCAUAAGGAACAUGUUUUUACAACUACAAUUUGAAACUGGUAGGUGUUGCAAACAUCCAAUCAGAUGUAAACAGCAAAGCAAACAAUAGUGGAGGAAAUGAUGCCUAUCCAAAUCUAUAGUAGAACAAAGUUUGAAGGCUUGAGAAGGAUGAACUUACAUUACAUGUUAACACGGGCUGGACAAAGCCCUUCUCCAUGUUGAUGGAAGGAUAAUUCAAUAAAUUCCCCAAAGAAAAUUCUUUAUAAGUGUUGCCAUUAUUCUACAUUUUGCAAAGAGUAAAUAUAGAUCAAAUAAUAUUGUAAGAAACAGAGGAUAAUGAAGCUCAGUGCAGACUGAUGAUACAUAAGCAAAUAGCAAAUAAUUAAGUACAACAUUACAAGGCAAAAGGGAGAGAGGUACUGACAAAAGCAAUGCAGAGCCCAUUAUUGUUUUGAGAUCGUAUGAUCCUUUGAGCAAGGAGAUUCAUCUGAAAUUAGUUUUCAUACAAGAGAGAAGGUAAGGCACAAGCAGAAAUUUAGGAGUUUAAAUUUUGAAUUGAUAUCAUAGACAGUACCUGACGCUGGGCUCCCAACAGUUCUAAUAGGGGUUUGGCCACUGGAGUAGGGGUAAAGUGUGGUACAGUUGGGCCUGUGUUUUCUGUGGUUGCUGAUCUAUUAGAUUUAACAGGUAUCACUACCUUUUCCAAAUACCUAGUUUGUACUCCUAGAGGAUCUGCACUCACCCUCUUCGUUUUGGACAUCUAUUAUGAAAGAACAACAUUUGACUGGGAAAACAUAGUGUGACGACACAUGGAAUAGGUACAGAAAAUGGAUAGGUAUGGCAUAUACUCAUAUAUGAUGCUUAAACUAAGCAGAUGGUGUAACAAAGUAGAAGUAAUGCAAGAGGUCAGAUGCAAAAUAUGUGCGACCAAUACAACUUUGCAAAGUUAGAGCAAGCACCUUGAUGGGUGAAUAAGAUAGGCCAUCCUCCACCAUGCCAAGUUUGUUAGCUAAUGGAUCAUUCCGCAAUAUUCCUCUCGUGCGCCCAUUCUAAUAUUCAUUUUGAUAAUGUUCAAUAUCUGACAUGCAUCAAAACAUAAAAAACAAGUGAGAUUUUCUUUGUAAUGCAGAAGUGAUUCUAAUCCAAUACUGCCUCCCUAUAAACCCCUUUGUGCUAUCUCUGCAAUUCUUUUAAAAGAUGCCAUGCAUGCUGUAAUUUGUUGUGUGCAUUAAUAUAAUGUGGCCUACUACUCAAAAUAUGAGAGCUCCAGAAGUGAUGACACUUCGCAGAUGAUAGCUUCAACAUAUAGUAAAGAAGAACAAGUCGACCUGACCUGACAGAUUCAAAAUAUACUAAGGGAUAACAACUCGACCUGACCAAUCGACCGCAAGAGAAGAGUAUCAUCUUAAAGAAGAGCAGAAGAGCAAGCAGACUGAAGAUAUUACAAGUCUUUCAAUACAAUGUCGGUUGGCCACCCAUGAUGAACCAGAGCGCACAGAGAAAUACUAUUCUUUACGGUCUCUCCAUAUGUGGUUCACAUGCAUUUCGAAACUAAAGUAGGAACAUUUAGCUAACCAAUUAAACAUCUCUCAGUUUUACUAAUAUCAGCAAUAAUAUCAGAUAUGGAUUUGUACAACUAAGCUUAUUUAGCUCGAUGGGUGGAGCAGUGCUAUUACGACACGAACUAUGUAGGCUGAUUGUGGUCAUCAUAAAAUGGGGAAAACAUAAGCAUGAUGAGUACAAUGUUGACCGUGGCAGUGGGAUGGCAGAUCUGAAGCUGCAAACCACGCAAAGGGUAGUUAGCAACCGAUGUUUGCUUUGAAAUAACAACUAAGAUUUGGUAUGGACAAGAAAGUACGGUCAACAAGUGACAAAGAAAUGCAAUUAUGAUGUCUCUCUAUAUGUCGCGACAUGCAUUUGGAAACUCAAGUGGGACCUUUAGCUAACCAAUUAAAUAUGUCGGUUAACUAAUAUCAGUAUCAUAUCACAAUCAUAUUUGAACAACUAAGCUUUUGAAUUCUGAGUGUUGUGUUGUUUAGCUUGAAGGGUGGAGUAAUGCUAGUAUGACAGAAAGCACCUAUGCCGAUCAUAGUAGAGUAGAUAAAAGGGGAAAACCCUAAGCAUCAAGAGAAAAAUCAGGAAAGUGGAACUAGCUGGACCAGUGGGUGGCACACAUGCUUUUCGAAACGAAUAUAGGAACAUUAGGUGACCAAUUAAACAUUCUCUAUUUUAGUGAUAUGAGCAUCACAUCAGAUUCGUAUUUCAACACGUAAGCUUUGGGUUGAGGUCUUGAGGAGCAGUGCUAGCACGACACGAAGCACCUACGAUGAUGGUAGUGAAUAUAAAGGGGGGGAACCAUAAGCUUUACGAGUAUAGUGCCCGUGCCACGGCAGAUCUGAAGGUGCAAACCGGACAAAGCUACUUCGCAACCAAUGUUUGCUUUCAACUAGCCACUACGAUUUGGUACGGACAAGAAAAGUACAGUAAACAAAUUACGAUCUAUUUUCCGGGUGAGAUCAAUAACUUAAGCACAUAUGGAAGAGUACCACCUCUCUUGCGAUGCCGUGUAGGCCUAUGCUGAUACGUUGAGGGUGCUGCGGGUGCGAUGGCUGUCGGCGGCGGGGAAGAAGACUUUAGACGGCAGACGGCCGGGUCGGGGGAUAUAUCAUCGAAUGAUUUAUUCCACCUUUAUAAAUGAUUAUGAUUUAGAAAUGCCGUGAUCUUCGAAUUCAGUAGGUUGGAUACACUCCGAGUCAAACAGUUAUUUCAUCUUAUGUCAAUCAUACAAUUACUGAGGAUUACCUCGCCUAAAAAAUUCGGAUCAUUACAAUACAUGGACAACAUAAGGGGUCUUGCAACAUAAUCCAUUUAGAGACAUGACACAACAUGCAAGUACAAUAAUCUAAUGACAAUUUCAACUGGUAUCUAAAGAAGAACCAGGAUUACCUUGGGCUUCAGAUAGCAGAAACAGCAGGACCUCCUCCGUCUUCAAAUGCAACAUUCUUACUUCCUCCAAUUCUUGGGUUGCUUGCAUAAUGCGUGCCGCUAAUUCCAUAAUUUCCAGCCUCAAGAUAAAGAUUACCUCAUUCAUGGCAGCCACACCAUCUCUUUCUGCCUCUAGUAGAGCCUCAAGCACUAUAAUAUCUGUGCUCAGACUGCUCUCCGGCGGUGUUGCCUCUAAACUGCUACUAUCUGGUAACGUAGAUGGCACACUGCUUCAACAAAUAGAUUCUGGGGUUGUACAUUGUGUCCUAGUGUGAACGGCAUCCUGAAAGGUUUCCGCUGGACAUCAGUAAGAGAUAGUUAUUGUAUGAUCCAGGCAGUAAGCUUACAUGGUAAACGACGGACGAAUUAUUGCCGAGCAUGGCAAACUAUAUUUAAGUGGUUCGAAGCAGCAUUAGCCGAAAAGAAAUUAAAAUGGUAAGAUGAAACUAGGGAUGUAAGCGGCAAAUAAACAACAUCCGCCAGUCCCAUCUAGUUAGUUUUUGCUACGUCCCUAGUUCAUUUUCCUCAAAAAACAAAAACUCUUUUGAACUAUCAUACCACUAGUGGAUUUUAAUCAGGAUUAAACGGGACCCAGUUGACAUCCCUAGUUGAAAGGGAGUGUACAACCGCUAUAUUUAAGUUGCCAAGGCAUCUAAGCAGUUGAAAUAAUCUAAGAAAGCUCUUAACAGUGUGGCCUCAUAUAAACUACGAAGACAGUCUUGUGAUGAAGUUGAGAGGAAAAGUUAAGGACUCAAAUGAAAUAGGCAUGCAUUUCUUUACGAUAGUACAACAGGCACUACUGACAUAUCGGCCAACUCAGGUAUAGCGUAACAACAAAUAAGCAUUCGAAUCAAGCAAUACAGCAAAGCAGACAACUGAACUAUUUAUAAUUCGGUAGGAUUACACGUUGAGGGCACAAGACAAGAAAGCAGCCCACUCGCAUUACAUUUCACAUGUACUAAAACACACUGGCUUACCAUAUGUUGCUGUGAAGCCUAGCUGUUGUUGCAAUGUUCUUUGAAGAUAUCCUGAGCAUCCCGUGGUUGCAAAUCUAGUUGUUGUAGUUUAUUCUGCACCAUCUAUUUAGGUAAAAUUAAUUUUAAUCGCAUGCACUGGUCCGAAUUGAUCAUUAAUGGUUCAUCUAAACUAAUGAAAGAAGGGUGUGUGCAUACACGACAACAUAUCUGCUUCCCUCUAUUUUUAUGCUUGUUCAAGGUGCUAGCCCCAAAAGAACAAUUUUUUAGCUUGAUGGGGUUGGCAGAUCCAUAAUUAAUAGAAGCAUCAAAUUAGUCAUGCAACUUGGGAAGAUCAAGAACACACAAACAAGUAAUGAACAGAGGCUCGGAGCAGUGAUGUAAUAGCUAGCAUCAGAAAAUGUAGGGUAAACCAAACAAAAAACAGCAGAACCACAUGCUAGUUUGCUGAUGUGUAAUUAAGCAUAGAGAACAUUAAGCAGUCUGAUGGAACCAACAGGUGGCAUCAAAACAAAACUAAAGCAUAUUAACUAUAUGUGCACUGGUAUGUAAUUUAGCACAUGUAACAUGUUCAAUGCCAGAAGUAUGGCCCUACAGAUGCAAGCAGAAUAACGCGUCUCAUGAAAAACUGAAUGAUGCCCUGAAGAAAUUCAAAGGUGCGGUGCUUAUGCUAGGAAAGUGAACAUAGGCGCCGGCCGUUGGAUAAUAGUACCUGAUUCUCGGUGGUGUAUGGGUAUCGUUGUCAUACUUGAUAGCUAAGGAUCGUCGAUGGUGCUCGUGUUGCGGUUGAGUUUGGGCCGGCUGUCGUCAUUGCUGAAGCGGCUUCGGUGCUAUGGUUGCGGCGCCUGUCGACAUACAAGAAAGCUCAUCUAUGGUAAGUGAACAGUUGCACGGUGAAGAGAAAAACCGAAGGAGUACAAAUUGAAAUAACCUGAUGAGGCUGCGGCAUCGGUAAAGCAGGGCGGUGGAGUUGAAUAUGGCGUUCGUGGAGCGGGUCCGGUGAAGUGGAUGAAGGCUUCGGCGGGCGCGUUGUACAGUGCUUUCGGUGAGGCGGAUCUAUUGCGGCGGACGAGGGCUUGUAUGAAGGGCCAGCGAAGGGGCGGACAAGGGAGUCAGUGAAGGGCCUACGCUGUGGUGGACGAGGGUGCCGGUUAAGCAGAUCCGGUGUGGUGGACCAUGAUGGCGGUCAAGGAGAUCUGGAGCGGUGGACAAGCCAGUCGCUGAAGCGGCUCCGGUGAAGUGGUGAGUUGGNNNNNNNNNNNNNNNNNNNNNNNNNNNNNNNNNNNNNNNNNNNNNNNNNNNNNNNNNNNNNNNNNNNNNNNNNNNNNNNNNNNNNNNNNNNNNNNNNNNNNNNNNNNNNNNNNNNNNNNNNNNNNNNNNNNNNNNNNNNNNNNNNNNNNNNNNNNNNNNNNNNNNNNNNNNNNNNNNNNNNNNNNNNNNNNNNNNNNNNNNNNNNNNNNNNNNNNNNNNNNNNNNNNNNNNNNNNNNNNNNNNNNNNNNNNNNNNNNNNNNNNNNNNNNNNNNNNNNNNNGCUGCGGCGGAGGACUAGAUUCGGCGGCUUGCCGUGGUUGGGGGGGGGGCGGGGAGGGGAAGGGGAGGGGCUCUGGGGAAGAAUGUUGGGGGCAAAGAGGGGAAAACAAUGGAGUUACCAAAGCAGCCUUUUUCCGUUCAUGUGGCAGCGGUAAAACAGGAAUAUCACAGGGCUAAACUUUCGGGUGCGUGAUAUUUCGAUGUGAGCGGGAAGUUUGAAAGCUUUUGGCGCCUAAAAUUAUAAGUAUUCUGCUCUCGUACGACCGACUAUGAUAUCAUGGCCGACAAUUUGUUUGUUUUGCACGCAAAAAAUGUGCAAGUUUUGAAAAUCAAUGUCUCCAACUCGAAAUUUAGAUUGUCCAUUCAAUUCAAAUAUGGAUCAUUGAGCUACUACAAGCAAAUACCAUUAUACGGUCCAAUUCAAAUGAAAUUCCAAAUGUGUUUAUCCUAAAUAUGAUGACAAAAGAAAAAAUGUGUAUGUGUAUGAAUAAAGUGGAUGAUUAUAAAGUUUGAACAUGCCCGUAUGUGUAUAUCUCUAGGUUUGAUAUAUGAAUUUGAAAUCACGAAAUCCCGGCUUAAAGAAUGUACCUCUGUUUAAAUGAAUUACAAAAGCUAACGAAGGAGUCGAAUUCCAAAAUUCCAAUCUUAGGUUUGUAAUUCUGGUACAUCAAGGUAUAUCACGCAUGUUCAAAAGUAUCGUUAUCUCAUAGUACAAACUGUGAAACAAAUUGAUCAACCAUGAGUGCACAAUAUCUCAAUUACGCUAAAGUCCCUCAAAUAUAGACACCUCACUCUUUAUCUUAAGUCACCCCCACCACCACACACACAUACACACACACAUAGAGAGAGAGGUCGUUCUCUCCCCCAAACACCAACACACUAGCAUAUUAACACCCCUCUCUCUUGUAAAGUCCAGACCCCAACAUAGGUCUCUAUCACUUUGUCUCUCGGGCAUGCACACAUCUCUUCCCUCACUCUCUAGGUCUCCCACUAUCUCUCUUACCCAAGCACACACACUAUGUAGAGUGUAUAUUUCCCAUACACACAAAAUGUCGCCCCCAAACGUCUAUCUCCCUAGUUAUGUGGUUCUCGCGCACUCACCUCACACACCACCCCCACUGCAAACAAGCACACUUUGUCUCCUUGUGCACCACUCUCCUCUUUCUAUCUCUCCCACAUGCGGACCCGCCCCAGCUCCUUCCCUGUAUACAUAUAUGUCGUGACUCUUUGCAUAGCUCCCUAAUGUAUAAUCGUUCUCGAUUUCGCACAUUGUUCUCUACACCAUCUAUUCUAGAUCUCUCAUGAAGUCCCUAUCACACACAUGAUGACUCGCUUCCCUUGCGUCUCCGUUCAUAGGCCAAUUUCGGACAACAUCAACAUUGUCUCCCUAUCUAUACGCCAUUUAUGGACACAAACGACCCCUCUCGCCCCCUCUCUUCCUCUCUCUCUCUCUCCCUCUCUCUCUCUGUCGCUAGCUCUCUCUUUCUCUCGCUCUCACACCCCUCUCCCACACACACACACUCGAUGUCUCUUCCAAAUAGUCUGCUCCCCCUCCCACACCCGUGCUAUCUCGCUACUACACAUGUCACACCAUUCCCCCUUCCCUUAUACUAGGUUUACAUCAUGAGUGGUCUCACAUACACUCUCUCACUCUCACACACAAACGCGUGCACAAACACACACAAACACGCACAAACACCCAUUUAUCUGGAUCCUCAUCUCUCCUCAUGUUCGCAUGUGUAUCUCACACACUCACUCUCUAAUUAUGUAUAUGUGUCUCCACAUUACACAACACAAAGCCCCAUGUACAUGUCUCUCUCUAUCCUCCACACACAUAGACACAAAGAAUAUGUUAUCAUUGCCUUAGUCUCUAACAUAUCACACACGGACACUGUCUCUCUCUCUCUCUCUCUCUCUCUCUCGCAAACACGAUCAACAAGGGUUUCCCCGUGAAUAACUUACCGUCUAUUCAUCAACAGUCGUGGCAGUACGACGAACACGAGAUGUGAAAAAGAAUAAAUCUACACGUGCUUAGACCACCUAGUAUGACUACUAGGACUAGAGGAAGCCAAAAAGCGUGCCGCCGUCACCCCCUCCUUGUCGGCGACGGGAAAAUCUUUGUUUUACACAGUCGAGAAGUCAUUGUGCUAAGGCCCCACAUGCCGAGGCGUUGAAUGGAAUGUAGAUGCUAGUUUACGGAAGCAAGUAUCGAUAAUACGUUUGUAUCUCCAUACUUAUAUUUCUUCUCUUAUAAAAAACCGAGUUGGUGGUGAUGGUACGUGUGCCAUCUUGUAAUAUAGAUCGUCCGAUCUAUAUCUGACGGAUGGAAAUUGAACUAAACAAUACCCGCACCCCUCUCCACAUUUGCAGACAAGGCCUUCCCUCGUUCAUCCUUAUCUCCAACAAACCUCAUUGUUGAGCAAUUAAGAAAGGAAGCCUCUGGAACAAACUGGCCUGGUGGCCGCUGCCGGCAUCGUCAAUCCCCAUGCCUCCGCUCAAUCCGACCACCAACCACCACCACACCCCACUCCUCUUCACCUUAUCUCAUAUUUCUCGAGAUAUCAUUAGUUUUUACACAUGGGAUUACUCCCGCAAGGGUCAAUCACAACAAGUGUUUUAUAAAAAAAAUGCAUCUUGAUGUUCCGUGCAAUGCACGGAUCUUGCUAGUACUCCUACACAAGACUAAGUUGGUGAUGCUGGUGUGUCUGCCAUCCGUUGUUUCUGACCAUUAGAUCUACAUCUAAUGAUUGUGAGGUAAGUUGUUGCCUUUUCUCACCAACAUCCCACUUGUCUACCAAUUUGCAGAAAACCCCAUAAUUAGUAUCUUAAAACCAACCACAUCCCUCCCUAACCUCACCAAAACAGCCCAAGGAAUAUAUUCUAAUUGAAACAUAAUAUAUCUCUAGUGACAUAUGUAUAUCAAAAUUAGAGUGUUUUGUACCAAGUUUGCUAAUAAGUAUUAUUCUAAUUAUGAUUCAUUGCAACAGACAUGAACAUUGCUAGUAUUUCCAACCAUGCAUUUUUUCCUAGUAUUCAUAGUUUCGAGUUUUCCAUCAAGAUAUUAGUCACUCAUGGUUGAUAUUUACUUUCAAUCAUGUACACAUAUGCACUAUGUAACUAGCCUUGUUUAUUGGCUUCCAAAGCUUAACUUUCACUCCUACCUACAAUAUGUAGAGUAUUUAAC